rnacentral:ncRNA from 2 species
UUCUUCGGGGCAGGGUGAAAUUCCCUAUCGGCAGUAAAGCCUGCGAGCCUUUUUAGGUAUGAUUUGGUGAAAUUCCAAAGCCGACAGUUAUAGUCUGGACGAGAGAAGAA